rnacentral:rRNA from 1 species
AAAGGAGGAGGAGGACUUGGCUUUAGAGACAUACAUGAUUUCAACAUUGCCAUGCUAGCGCGACAAGUGUGGUGACUGAUUCAGCAGCCCGAUAGUUUGAAUGCACAGCUCCUAGAGGCUAAGUACUAUCCGAACAGUAGUGUUUUGGAAGUGGAACAAACCGGUAAUAUGUCAUAUGCAUGGCGUAGUAUAGCUCACGGAAUUGAUUUGGUGAAGCAGGAUGUGAUCUGGUGGGUUGGAGAUGGGAAAACAUAA